rnacentral:lncRNA from 1 species
CUGCGCCUGCGCGCUCAGCCCGUCGCCGCGCCAGCCCUACGGACGUGCGCUCGCUGCCUUCGCGGCGCCUGGGCCCUGGGAUGCGCGUCUGCCCGGUCCGUGCCAGCUCCAGGGAGAUGCGGUGUCUGCUGCAUCCAUCUGAUCCUCACCUAGUGUAGUUCUGUCUAAUGGACCCUGGGAACCAGUACUUGUUUUGCCUCAUCCUUGCACUGUGGCAGUAAGUGAAUAAAGGCUUGAUUAUUAUUUUCAUCUUGGCUCUUUGUCC